UUAAGUUCAGCGGGUAUCCCUACCUGAUCCGAGGUCAACCACAGAGUUGGGGGUUCUGGCAGGCCACCGCCAGGCACCGCAGCGAGGGUUGUACUACGCUGAGAGCCAGGCGGCGCCGCCACUGCCUUUGGGGCCGGCCGCGAACGGGCCCGGCCCAACACCAAGCGGAGCUUGAGGGUUGAAAUGACGCUCGAACAGGC
rnacentral:misc_RNA from 1 species